CUCUUGGUAAGGGCUAAAAAGUAACGGUGCGAUUCGUCGCUAAGGAUCGACGAGAUAGUCUGCGACCAGCCUGUGUUGGUCGUGGACCUGACACACUGAGUAUUCGUCUGCUGUAGGGCAACAAAUAAACAAACUGAGGAUUUUUCUGCUAAAGGAAAAAAAUUAAACAUUUGUGUUUCUUUCUGGAUUGCAAAAGGUUAGUAAUAUUUUCAGUAAUGGUUAAUAUGAAGAUAAACAAACAAACAUCAAAGAAAGAACGGGAAACUGAAAGGAAUGAGAAGUAUCAAACAAGCCUAGCAUGUUUUCCAAAAGCCUUUCCCCUGGAAUUUGUCUUUGACAGAUCACGGUUACGGAUUCGUUUACUUUCAAAAUGAAAACGAAUUUGAACAUAUUCGAAGAUUACAUGAGCUGUCCCUAACAUAGUAAUGAAUGUUAGAUUGAAAAUGGCCUGAGACUAUUGUCUCUACUUCUUUGAAAGUUUUGAACAUCGCAAUCGAUGGAUACUUCAGCCCACCAUAAUUCCUCCUGGUGGUAUGAUCUGCUGCAAUGAAAUUUUCUGGGAUCAAAUGUUGUUCAGUUUCAAGUAGACUUGCAGUCUUGGCAUUUCAAGAUAUGCCGGCAGCGACUGUAUAGCACGUAUCCCACUACGUCAUAGAUCCCUUGGUUCUUCGUACCUCCAAAAACCAUAAUAUCCUGAUUCUUCUCAACAUAGUUAACUUCAUCUUCUGCUACGUACGCAUCAUUAUGGAUACUUUCCACUAUUUCGUCUGACAGUAUUUCGUUGACUUCUGGAUUAGAAUUCUCUUCAUUUACUCCUAUUUCUGCAGGUUCAUAUUCAAUAUCUUCUACAAAACGUAUUCUCAAUUCCUCCAGCAAUGAAUCUUUAAGGGAUUCUCUUAAGUUUUUGGCAACUGCAUUAUCUUUUUUGAAUCUUUUCAAUAGGCAAUCUUUAUAUUCCAAUAAAAAACAGUAUUUUUCCUCGUUAUCGACAAUUCCCACAUUUACGUCCAUUGUAGACGAAUUAUACAGCGAGUACGAUUUCGUUAUAACCAAACUUGCAUGGAGUUGAUCUCAGCAAUUUACUGAUUGUAUCUGGAUGUGGAAGAGGAAGUAUGCUUCUAUUCCUCAAAUGUUUAUACGCCGAGGUGCUUUUCAUCUUCCAGAGUAAACACUGGAGUAAAAAGCCAGGACCAUAUCACAUAGAGUAAGCCUUCCCACUCUCCGACGUAAGCUGUGUCCGUCCCUUCACAAUGAAUGUUCUAAUUACUUCCUGCUCCUGUAAACAUUAUUUAAAAAAAAUUAUGUUAGUGUAAAUUAAUCAAUAGAAUCAUUCAUUAAAACACUAACUUGUGGUUUCAAGUGACAUAUUUGUUUUUUCCAGUGACUUCUCAGUCAAGUUCUUUAGUUCCACCUUAAAUUGUUCGAUCUUUCCGGCCAUAUCCUGAUAAAAAAACAGAUUAGUCAAUAUAUGUAACAGAACCACGAA